GACGGGCUAUAUGCGGCCUGCUUUAGCCCACCUGGCGAAAUUAUUGCAAUCUGGGCUCAGAUAUAGACCAGCGACCUAGAAUAUUAGUCUUUGAAAUGUUUUCGCUUACACAGCUUAAUAUAUAUUUUCUGUCAAACAUUCAUACACAAUCUACGAUAAAAAAUAUCUAAUCAAAUGCAAUUGCAUUUCCCAACCGCUAGAUGGCACAAUUGAAACACUACUGAGACAUGUCUACUGGAACUAAUGCCAUUGCGUGACUAGAUCACUUUAGCCAAAUCUCGCGAUAAACAUUUCCGCCAUUUUAUUUUACACGAGGCAGCUGUCGGAGUGCAACGGGUGAGCAACAGUCUGAGUGAAAACCUUCACAUUUCUACUUCGAUCUUAAGAAAGCCAUACAGGUUUGGAACCAAGUGAAAACGCAGUGAUGACCAGCUUUCCAUCAGCUAUGGAAUGUGAAAUAAAAAAUGCUAUUUCUAAUCAUUUCAAACAAGCACCAGGGAGGGCAGGGGGUGGGGGUUAUGGAUCUAAAGUAAACAGUUAAUUCUUAAAAAUUAAUUGUUUUACAUAUUUUUCCAAUGUUUUAUUUGUUCAUUUUUAUGUUUGAAUGUUGUCCAAGUUGUUGUUGUCUAUAUAAUUGUUCAAAAUAAAUCCCUUUAUAUUCAAUUAGUUUGGAUGGAUUUUAAUUUAUGAGAACCUGUUAUAUUUGAGUGAAAAGAAUCCUUAUGCCUCUUUUUGUUGUCUAUUACAUGUAUAUGUAGUGUAAUGGAUGACUAGUCUAUUCUUGGGCUAUGGUUAGACGUCUAUUAGAUUUUCACUGACAGCCCAAAAUCAGCCUUGUUUUAGCCUAGACCCAUAUUGCCUGUCUAUUAGACGUGUGUAGUUGUUUAGCGG